UACGGAGGGUGCAAGCGUUAAUCGGAAUUACUGGGCGUAAAGCGUGCGUAGGUGGUUCGUUAAGUCCGUUGUGAAAGCCCCGAGCUCAACUUGGGAAUUGCAGUGGAUACUCGCGAGCUAGAGUGCGGUAGAGGAAGGUGGAAUUCCCGGUGUAGCGGUGAAAUGCGUAGAGAUCGGGAGGAACACCAGUGGCGAAGGCGGCCUUCUGGACCAGCACUGACACUCAAGCACGAAAGCGUGGGGAGCAAACAGG
rnacentral:rRNA from 1 species